rnacentral:rRNA from 1 species
AUCAUGGAGAGUUUGAUCCUGGCUCAGAACGAACGCUGGCGGCGCGUCUUAAGCAUGCAAGUCGAGCGGUAAGUCGGGAGCUUGCUCCUGAC